AGAGUUUGAUCCUGGCUCAGGAUGAACGCUGGCGGCGUGCCUAAUACAUGCAAGUCGAGCGGGGUUAGUCUUCGGACUGACCUAGCGGCGUACGGGUGAGUAACACGUAGGUAACCUGCCCUCAGGCUUGGGAUACCCAGACGAAAGUUUGGCUAAUACCGAAUAACAACAGACAAGGCAUCUUGACUGUUUAAAAGGCGCUUUCAAGCGUCACCUUUGGAUGGACCUGCGGCACAUUAGCUAGUUGGUGAGAUAACAGCCCACCAAGGCAAGGAUGUGUAGCCGAUCUGAGAGGAUGACCGGCCACAAUGGGACUGAGACACGGCCCAUACUCCUACGGGAGGCAGCAGUAGGGAGUUUUCGGCAAUGGGGGAAACCCUGACCGAGCAACGCCGCGUGAGUGAUGAAGGUCUUCGGAUCGUAAAACUCUGUUACGAGGGACGAAUGAUACCGUUAGGAAAUGAAUGGUAUUUGACGGUACCUCGCCAGAAAGUGACGGCUAACUACGUGCCAGCAGCCGCGGUAAUACGUAGGUCACAAGCGUUAUCCGGAAUUAUUGGGCGUAAAGAGUGAGCAGGCGGCAUGGUCAGUCUGAGGUUAAAGCGUGGGGCUCAACCCCAUAAAGCCUUGGAUACUACCAAGCUAGAGUACGUGAGAGGUUAACGGAACUCCAAGUGUAGCGGUGAAAUGCGUAGAUAUUUGGAAGAACACCAGAGGCGAAGGCGGUUAACCAGCACAGUACUGACGCUCAGUCACGAAAGCGUGGGGAGCAAAUAGGAUUAGAUACCCUAGUAGUCCACGCCGUAAACGAUGAUCACUAACUAUUGGUAAUGCCAGUGGUGAAGCUAACGCAUUAAGUGAUCCGCCUGGGAAGUACGGUCGCAAGACUGAAACUUAAAGGAAUUGACGGGACCCCGCACAAGCAGUGGAGCAUGUGGUUUAAUUCGACGCUACGCGGAGAACCUUACCAGGGCUUGACAUGGAGGAUAAUGCCAUAGAGAUAUGGAGCUAUAAGCCUCACACAGGUGGUGCAUGGUUGUCGUCAGCUCGUGUCGUGAGAUGUUGGGUUAAGUCCCGCAACGAGCGCAACCCUCGUCUUUAGUUGCUAACACAUAAUGGUGAGAACUCUAGAGAGACUGCCGGUGUAAACCGGAGGAAGGUGGGGAUGACGUCAAAUCAGCAUGCCCUUUAUGUCCUGGGCUACACACGUGCUACAAUGGUCGUUACAAAGAGCAGCUAACUCGCGAGAGUAAGCGAAUCUCAUAAAGGCGGCCUCAGUUCGGAUUAGAGUCUGCAAUUCGACUCUAUGAAGGCGGAAUUGCUAGUAAUCGUAGAUCAGAAUGCUACGGUGAAUACGUUCCCGGGGUUUGUACACACCGCCCGUCAAACCAUGAGAGCUGGUAAUGCCUAAAGCCGUUGGCCUAACCGUAAGGAGGGAGACGUCUAGGGCAGGAUCGGUGAUUGGGGUUAAGUCGUAACAAGGUAUCCCUACGGGAACGUGGGGAUG
rnacentral:rRNA from 1 species